rnacentral:tRNA from 2 species
GGGGGGUUAGCUCAUCUGGCUAGAGCGCGACACUGGCAGUGUCGAGGUGACGAGUUCGAGUCUCGUACUCUCCACAA